AUAUAUAUACAUACAUCUACACACACACACACUGUCCAAUCUCACCCACACUAAUUAAUCCCCUGAUCCCCACCCCGCAAAAAAAAAACUUGUGUGAUGUCAUUAACAGAAAUCAUUAAAAUGCUAUGAAGUUGGCCUCUCUACAGUUAUACAACCAAGUGAUAAUAGCAGCCAAAUAUCCCUCAGAAUACACACUACUACCUUUAAGAAAAAAAGGGGGAAAGGCUGUUGCAUAAUAAUGUUGGAUGUAUAAAACGACAGUUUAGUCACAGCUGGAAGAUCUGAUCAUAGCCUGACUGACCGAGGGUUAAACAAUGACAACCGUUAAAAGAUGUCAGGAAAUGUCUAAGGUACUCUUGCUAAAGCAUCUUAUUUCUUCUAUGUUAUUGGAACCUGGAGCAGCCAUAGGCACUGAAUCAGUCAAUGGCUCAGACACUAAUUGUACUUUCAACAGUUUAUGAACAGACUGCUCUCGAAGGAUACAGAAUUUUCUCUGACAACCACUUUGGAACUCACACAAAAGCAGCAACAACAUAUUAUAAACUGACGACAAAUACAUUUUACUUGCUAGACAUAGCAGCCAAAUCACUCUCAAAGUAUUUUCUGUCUUACAAAAAAUGGGUCACAUUAGAUUAUAGGAUUGUCAAUACAUUUUAUCAAAACAGAAACUGGAAUGGUUACUGAUCAUAUCUCUGUUGGAUGAAGGCUUAUCUGGGAUUAUCCCUAUUGUUUACCACAUUUCUGCUGAAAUACCCUUCCUUUGUUUCAAUUAAUCUUGGAAAUAAUGAAGAAUUUGGUGAAAAUAACUGUCUUUACAAAGCUGGUGUUUGGAACAAGAAUUAAUGAAAAAUUUUGAUGGAAAAUUUUAAUUCAGAUUACUUUAAAAGACAAAAUUUGUAUCACAGAACUAAGUAGUCUUGUUUGAGUUUGUAUCAAAAGGGUUUAACAAGAAAGGAGACGUUGAAGAUAAGCAGCUUAACCCUUAAACUGGCCAUAUCCAACCCAAACAUUCUACCCGUUUUAUGUUCAAAGUGGUCAGAUCUGGCCUCGCAGACCUUCUUUAAAAUUUAAUCCUAGAAAUAUUCAAUCCAUCUCACUGAAAUCUCAAAGCUACAAGAUACAAUUCAAGACAAUGUGAAUAAAUAAACAUUUGACAGAGAAAUCUGAAUGGUAAAGGGUUGACGGAGGACAGAAUGGUUGCAGUAUUUUAGAUCAUGGGUCUGUUGAAUCAAAGAUGGCUUAGAACUAAACAACAACAACAACAAUUAUUACAAACUGAAAUGUAAAUUGUCCUUCCUGCCUAACCUGAAGCAUAGCAAUAUUAUGUUAGCUUGAUCCUAAAAAAGUUGAAUUAACCAAAAAUAUUCCUUGUAUUGAGACAAAUUACAUUUCUAAUAUAAUUCUUAAACAAAUCUAAAAGACACUGUGUGUAUGAAUAAAAACAUACUCACACACAUGUAUGUAUAAUCCAGCACGUGCUCCAGAAAACUUGACACUUUACCAAAAAGUUUCCACGCAACCUCUAUGACUCCAGAUCAGCUUCUGUGCAGAGUGUGCAUUCCAUAUAGAAAAUGGAAUGCAGAAAACAUAACUAGUAUUUAUGCUUUGUAUAAUAUACACGUGUUUCAGAAAGCUGACUAUAAUUACAUAAGCCUAAAGUGUCAGUUACACAACACAUUGCAGUCAGCUCACUUCGUCAGUUAAUGUACCAUAUUACUUCCCUACCAAUUGAGCUGGCUAGAUGCUAUGUAUGAUAGCUUCACAUGUGAAAGUGAAAGUAGAAAACUGUCCUGCUCACCCAAAGACCCCACAUCAUUAAAGAAUUUAUAGUGUGGUCAUGGCUAAGCUAGAGUAUAGCAAUUUCAGGGUGUUUGGUCUGUGACAUUUCCUUACCAAGUCCUCACUAAAGACAAAUAAAUCCAUCUAAAGGGUUCAAACAAUAAACAAAAAAAGGAUUCUAUACUUCAAAAGUCAGUCAGUGAAAUAUUUAUAAAAGAAUUGUUUAAGUAAGUAAAAAGAAAAUGUUACUAUGGAAACAAUGAUGGUAGUAAUGGUAACAUUACCACUCUUUGACAAUGGUAAAAUGAUGGAUUAUUACUGUUCUGUUAAUGAUUGCUAAAACACUUUAAUUAAACCACUUUAAUUAACAAAAUAAUUAGUGGCAAAACAAAGGACUGUUACUGUAAUUUGCAUGUUAUUAGCAUUGUAAUAAGUAAGAUAAUAUACAAGUCAAAUUAAUUAUGAUAAUGUAUAUGUACAUUUUAAUAUCAUGGUAAUAUGUAAAUGAUAUGCAAAUGGAAAUAUGUUUAUGUGUAAAUGCUGGUACCAUGCUUAUAUGUAAAUGAUAUGCAAAUGGGAUUAUGUUAAUGUAUAUGUUAACAUCAAGGUAUCAUGAAAAUGAUAUAGAAAUGGAAUUAUGUUAAAGCCAUGUUAAUAUGUAAAUGGUACACAAGUGAAAUUAAUUAUGUUAAUUUAUGUGUAAAUAUUGUCUGGGCAAAUGGUAAAAAGGGGAAUUAAUUAUGUUUAUGUCUGUGUAAAUGAUAUACAAAGGGAGUUAUUAAUUAUGUUAAUAUAUAUGGUAACUGAUACCAAAGUGGAAAUGUAGAGCAAAUUAUUGCAAUGUAAACUUUUUAGAGCUGACCAUAGCAUGAGCUUCUCUCACAUUGCCUCCUCUUAACUGGUAGAGCUAGUCUUAUGUAACAAUUGUACAGGGUGGAGCUAGUUGUGUGCAAUAAGUGUUGAGUGUGGAUCCAGUUGCAUAUGAUAAAUGUAAUGUGCAGAUCCAAUUGCAUAUGGUUAUUCCUCCAUCACACACUCUAUACUCCGACAUGCCACAGUUGAUCGUUAUUAGAUGGUAUACUCACACUUCACCUAUGUAGGUCGGGUCUCUGCCUGAAGGGAAGGACCGUAUCUCAAAGGCCUUUACAAUGUCUCUGAAAUUGGUAGGCUGGAGGGAAGAGAAUAUCCUCGAAUCAGACCACCUGGUUUGCAUGUUUGCAUCAGAAUGGAGUCUAUGAAAGGCUGAAUGGCCAGGCAGUGAUGUUCAACAGGGCAUGAAGAUAGUGGCUCAUGUAGGAAAUGUUACUUGUGAUAGAAUGAUGUCCUAUCCAGGUGAAUUUCUCGCUUCAUCCCAUGAAACAGGAGCUAAACUUCAGAUUGGUAGUGGAUUACUUGUGAUAGAGUGGUGUCUUAUCCAGGUGCAUUUCUCCCCCACUUCACCCUAUAAAAAACUAGAGCCAAAGAUCAAAUCCCAGAAGCUUCCUGGAGGCUCAGGAAGUGUUUCAUUAUAACUUGGAGACAUUAAUUAUAGCCUCUCCACCUCUUCAUUUCUGAAACUGCUGAUCAAAGACACCAGUCCUGGUUGGUGUGGCCACCUC